rnacentral:rRNA from 1 species
GACGGAGGGUGCUAGCGUUGUUCGGAAUCACUGGGCGUAAAGGGCGCGUAGGCGGCUUCAGGUGUCGGAUGUGAAAGCCCGGGGCUCAACCCCGGAGGUGCAUCCGAAACUCUGGGGCUGGAGGCCGGAAGAGGAGGGUGGAAUACCCAGUGUAGAGGUGAAAUUCGUAGAUAUUGGGUGGAACACCGGUGGCGAAAGCGGCUCUCUGGUCCGGUCCUGACGCUGAGGCGCGAAAGCGUGGGGAGCAAACAGG